rnacentral:rRNA from 1 species
CCUACGGGAGGCAGCAGUGAGGAAUAUUGGUCAAUGGACGAGAGUCUGAACCAGCCAAGUAGCGUGAAGGAUGACUGCCCUAUGGGUUGUAAACUUCUUUUAUAAAGGAAUAAAACGAGGCACGUGUGCCGUUUUGCAUGUACUUUAUGAAUAAGGAUCGGCUAACUCCGUGCCAGCAGCCGCGGUAAUAUGGAGGAUCCGAGCGUUAUCCGGAUUUAUUGGGUUUAAAGGGAGCGUAGAUGGGUUGUUAAGUCAGUUGUGAAAGUUUGCGGCUCAACCGUAAAAUUGCAAUUGAUACUGGCAGUCUUGAGUACAGUUGAGGUAGGCGGAAUUCGUGGUGUAGCGGUGAAAUGCUUAGAUAUCACGAAGAACCCCGAUUGCGAAGGCAGCUUACUAACCUGUGACUGACAUUGAUGCUCGAAAGUGUGGGUAUCAAACAGGAUUAGAUACCCUUGUAGUC